UUAUUGAGCCAUCCGAGAGGUCCUUCCCGGUUUUUUCUUCGUUGGGAGCAAGUGCUAACAUCGGAUGUUAGCUUGUUUUUUCUGAAUCUUCGACUCGUCAAAUUGUGUUACAGAUCGAGCACUCCUCUAUUAUCGUUUGCUUGUAGAAAUCUGGAAUGAUACGGAGACGGAGCGAAGGAAAAAGUUGUUGGAGCUGCGUGGAAUUGAUCCUGAUGAGUUUUUGCUGAACCUUCUACUAAUGUUGGCUCUCUCUCUCUCUCUCUCUGAUGGUUGUUUUAUUUCAUUUCCUUUCAAACAUCAAACAUGAAUAGUUUGUAUUAUUCUUGCCUGUUUGAAUUGUGCAAUUUCGUCAUCUUGGCUAUGGUAUUGAGCGUUUGGAUAUUUGGUAUAAUGCUUAAUUUUCUUCGUUCGAGUUGCUCUUUUAAUCUCUCUGAUCGUUAAGUUUCCUUGAAGUGCGAAAUCGGUAUAAGGCAAGCAUAUUCCAGCUGAGAAUCUUAAACCUCAACGGCAGACACAUAAGACUACGUACUGGCGGUUUGGUCGGACACUUGGCAAUUUAUGGACCCAAGUGGGCUGAUAAGGAAAAAGAAAAGAAAAGGUUAAAACGACUUGAUGAAGUUUCUGUAGCCGCCGAUUGAAAUUAGCUUGUGACAUUGUUCGGCAACAGUUGCUACAAGCCUAAGUUCAAGUGGUCCGAGUGUAUUUUAAACAGCUGCAUGCUUUUCCAUCAAAGAAUUUAAAAGUGCUGCAUGCUUUGAAGCAUUGGCCAUCGUUCCAUUCUGUUGGUUAUUGGGCAUUGCAGUAUCCAGAUGUUGAUACUACUUUUCUUGAUUGUAUUGGCAUCUUGGAAGUACAGGGUUCCUAACUGUUGCAGGUCAAGGGUGAAUCUACAGCCACCUGCGCUUUGUCUAGUUCUAGAAUAUAUAUCCAAGCUUCAUGAUGGUUGCAGUUCAACAGAGAAGCCAAGCUGACUGAGACGGACAUCAUGGAAAAAUACAGUCUUGUAAAGGGGAAAAUGGAAGGGAUGGCGGAUAAACCGUGCUGCUAUCUCAUCUAUGAUAGAGGAAAAACAUUGGGAAUUGAUGAAGGAAGCUGUUAGGAUCAACAAGUCCUACGCCAACCUGCUUACUUCGGACAGAAUUCCAAAUGUGAAAGUUCUACUGUCAUAAUUAAAUUGGAUCUAAACAUGUGUAUAUGCAUGCGUAUGUAAUACUCAAUAUGGCAUGCCGAGGGAAAGAAGAUAUUUGAGAACAUGUCAAUACUUUAUUCGCUUAUAGUCUUCGACUUUUCAUUAUCCUUUAGUUUUGUUCUUCAUUUUUUGGGAUCCAGUAACAGUUCCACUGUAUUUUCUUUGAUCAUAUUUUCUUCUUUUUCAGUUUGCCACUUGCUAGUAGGACCACUGAGUAAAAUUUUCCAGGAUUCUAAGAUGGAGUCGGUGGAUUGGGAAGCCCUAAUAUUCACAUCCAUGAACGUGGGAGAGAGUCCUAAACAUGCUCGGACCUCGUUUGCUCACAUGAAUGCAGAAUCAAUUUACAGUAAUCAGAAUUCUUGUAACCAGACAUGCGAAGCUGCCUGCCUCAUGAAAUUACAAAGAAAAUGGUUCUUAAGGGCAUCAAUCUACUUUGGUAUUAGAUACUUGUUUCUUAGUUGAAUUGCUCUGAUUUGCCUUCAGAAUUGAUUUGAGCCAGAUUAGUUCAUUGUGUACUGUGGGCUUGCGACAGCAGCGCAUCUAAACAGAUGGUAGUAUUCAUUUUUCAUUGUUCUCUGAUAGCAAUUGCUUGUAUGUUGUUUUCCAAAACAAGGUUUAAAAUCAAGGGUUUCCUUGCAAUAAUUGGGCGCUGAUCAACUACCAGACACUCAAAACCAACUGCCUCAAUUUCUUCAGGAGGGAUUGAUAAUGC